CAACGCCCGUCACAAUCAGGUCACGCGGGAGGAAGUUUUCCACUGAGCCUUUCAGAUGACGGUUCCUGUCAAUGUAGCCAGAUUUCUAAAGAACACCACUAUGUGGACCUCUCAACGAAGCCGGCUGUAUGUACUUCUGGUGUCUGUGUCUACCUCAUGUAGUGAAACAGUGUCUACCUCAAGCGUUUCUACUCUCACCGUCAGCAAUGUCCAGAGUCUUGUCAGCAAGAAUGUCACAGAUAUAUCUCUCAUAUAAGUUGUUUUUCUUGGCCUGUUCCAGCAUCCUUUCUGAUGGUUCCAGACCAUCAAUGUGUAGGAAUCCUUGUUUUCGCAUCUGAUAAAUAUACAAACGAUAUAGGGCUAUCGUCCAUCAGCUAACAACAUUGCCAGUUCAGUCGCACUGAAAAGGGAAAUCAAUAAAACUGCGACAAACAUG